rnacentral:rRNA from 1 species
GUAAGGAAUAUUGGUCAAUGGGCGCAAGCCUGAACCAGCCAUGCCGCGUGCAGGAAGACGGCCCUAUGGGUUGUAAACUGCUUUUGUCAGGGAAUAAACCCCCGCUCGUGAGUGGGGCUGAAGGUACCUGAAGAAUAAGCAUCGGCUAACUCCGUGCCAGCAGCCGCGGUAAUACGGAGGAUGCAAGCGUUAUCCGGAUUCAUUGGGUUUAAAGGGUGCGCAGGCGGAUUGGUAAGUCAGGGGUGAAAUCCCACAGCUCAACUGUGGAACUGCCUUUGAUACUGUCAGUCUAGAGUAUAGUUGAAGUUGGCGGAAUGUGUCAUGUAGCGGUGAAAUGCUUAGAUAUGACACAGAACACCGAUCGCGAAGGCAGCUAGCUAAGCUAUAACUGACGCUCAUGCACGAAAGCGUGGGGAUCAAACAGGAUUAGAUACCCGAGUAGUCC